rnacentral:lncRNA from 1 species
UGCUGCCAAUGCACCUAGUUUGGAAACAAAAAGAUAUAAAAAAUGGGUUAAAGCUAAUGAAAUGGCCCGCUGCUAUAUUUUAGCUUGAUGUUUUCGGUUUUACAACAUCAGCUAAAAGAUUAUUUAUGUGCUAUGGAUAUGAUCCUAAGCCUCAAUUAGAUGUUUGGAGAACAAGGACGACCUGCUAGGCAAAUUACCAUGAGAGCAUUAAUAAAUACUAAAAUGGCUGAAGAAAUUCUAGUGAGAGACCACGUUUUAAAAAUAUUUGAUUAUUUAAACACUUUGGAGAUCCUUGGUGGUAAGAUUGAUGUUGAAUCUCAAAUUAAUAUUAUCUUUGAGUCGUUGCCUGACUCGUUUAAUCAGUUAAAGCUCAAUUACGGUAUGAACAAAAUUGAUUAUUUAUUUUUUGAGCUUUUAAACGCUUUACAGGAAUCAAAUGGUAUUAUCAAAUGUCAUCCUAGUGUUAAUAAUAUGAAAAACGCUUCACUUUUCAAGCCUUUUCUCAAGUGAAAGGGCAAACAAAAAAAAAUCCAAGUAACUCUAACAAAAUUCUUAAUCCAUUUAGGAACAUUGGCAAAGGUAAGAAAGUAAUGAUCCAAAAUCAAAUGAAAAGUGUUUUCACUAUGGGGUUGUAGGUCAUUGGAAGAUGAACUAUUUAAACUAUCUGGCUAAGAAAAAAGACUCAGGUAUAACCGAAUUCCUGGUGUGUAGAUUCCGGCACAACUAAUCACAUUUGUAACACGUUGCAGGGAUUUUGGGAAACCAAGAAACUAAAUGAUUGUGAGAAAAUUCUAUUUUAUUUAAUAACAAUAUUUUUAUUAAAUUAAAUGGAUCUUUUAUAUGCUCGGGCAAAUUGGUUGAUGGUCUUUAUUUAAUUACUCUUAAGAUGUAUGAUAUACAUGACACUGAAUUGAAUAAAUCACGAAACUUGCCACUUAAAAGAAAGGUUUUUUCUAAUAAUCCAACGUAUCUUUGAAAUCUAAGACUUGGUUAUAUUAAUAUAAAAAGGAUUGAUAGAUUGGUUAAAGCGCACACGCACUCCUGGGUGCAACAGAGUUUCUUCCAAUUCCAAUUUCAAUUUUUUUUCGUUGAAAGAGAUCUAAAACACUAUCGAGUUCGCUAGACUAACUAAUGCGGUGCUAAUAUUAUCCAGAGGAUUGUUGUUUUAUAUUGGGAGGCGAUUUUCACUGACUCAAUGCACUGGUAGCGGGUGAAUCAGCCUUAAGGAGAUCGUGUGGCACACGAGACUCAGAAGAUUCUUCUAAUUAUUUUGGUUUGCAUUUUUUGUUCUUAAUUUCCAUAUUUUCUGUUCUGUAUUUUAUUUUUUUGUAAUCUGUUCUUGUAAUAUGUUUCAAUAAAACUUUUAGAAUUAUGUAUUGCUCUUCGACUUACUAUAGAUUUUGCCCAUAAAUUAU